rnacentral:rRNA from 1 species
GAGGGUGAUAGCCCCGUACGGUGUUGACUCGAUACAGAGUCCUAACAUGGAGUCGAGUUGUUUGGGAAUGCAGCUCAAAUGGGUGGUAUGCUCCAUCUAAGGCUAAAUAUUUGCGAGAGACCGAUAGCGAACAAGUACUGUGAAGGAAAGAUGAAAAGAACUUUGAAAAGAGAGUGAAAUAGUACGUGAAAUUGUUGAAAUGGAAGGGUAGGCCGCUAACCAUGUAGGACCGUGUUUGGGGGGAAGAUAAAUGCUGU